rnacentral:rRNA from 1 species
GAUGAACGCUGGCGGCGUGCUUAACACAUGCAAGUCGAACGAAGCAUUUACACGGAACCCUUCGGGAGGAAGUGUUUAUGACUGAGUGGCGGACGGGUGAGUAACGCGUGGGCAACCUGCCCCGUACCGGGGGAUAACAGCCGGAAACGGCUGCUAAUACCGCAUACGCUUGGAAGGCCGCAUGGCUUUUCAAGCAAAACUCCGGUGGUACGGGAUGGGCCCGCGUCUGAUUAGCUUGUUGGCGGGGUAACGGCCCACCAAGGCGACGAUCAGUAGCCGGCCUGAGAGGGCGGCCGGCCACAUUGGGACUGAGACACGGCCCAG